ACGACCAUAUAAACACCGUAUAAACACCAGUUCUCCUACGAUCACCGAAGUAAAGCAACGUCGAGUCUGGUCAGCACCUAGAUGGGUAACCGCUUGGGAAUAUUAGUUGCUGUAUG